AGCUAUAGUAAAUAGCGAGAUUUCAUCCAUUGAUUGAUCGGUUUCACUCGUUUGAUUGGUUUUUUUUUCUGUGCAUGGCGAUAAAAAAACGGGCCAAACCUUCUGAGAAGUGCAGGGAAUCCGGAUGGAAUCAUCUUCAGCCUCAGCCCCAUGCUUGUGAACAAUCGACCUCCUCCAGCUGGUCUACUGCUACUGAGCUAGUGGGAGGAGAGGAUAUAUCUGCAUCAAUUCAGCAAUCCUGUCCAGAUCCUUAGCUUGGCUAAUUGGGUUUACUGCCAUUGACAAAGACUCGAGGCUCGAGAGGAAAGCAAGACACCAUCAUCAGAAUGGAAUAGUAUACCUGCACGUAUGUGGCGGGCAAAAUCUUAGUCCAGCCAAUCCAAUCAUCCUCUCCAUCAAGUUAUUCCAAGGACAAAACAAGAUUAUACCAUCUGCUUUAUUGCUGCUGCCAUCUUUUUCUGCCUUGCUGAUUUCUGCUGUAGCACUGUCCUACAGUACCACUGCUACUGCUGGUUUCGAGAUGCAAUCUUGUGCUGCCCAUUGGCUGGAUUAUAAAAGGGAAGCCAUGCUGGGCUGAGAAAGAAAAGGAGAUGACAGCACAUCAGAAUCAGCUUUAGUACAGUACAGAGCCCUAGAUUGAGAUCCUUCAGACCAACAUCUCGUGUGAGUGAGAAACGUGCUGCAGCGAAUCACAUGAACGUCGUUCGUGUGUUCUCUCUCUCUCACGAUCCAAUGCAGAGAUGCAAACAGUGGCACACCUCCAACCACAUGUCUGUAACAUGGAGUGAGUUGUCAGAAAAUGCAUCCUGACAACUAAUCUAAAUUUGGUCAUUCAUAUCUUUAUUUGAAUGAUCAUAUAAAAUAGAUUCAUAUAUGACAUCCUCUAUAUUUCUUUGGAGGAUGGAGAGAGAUCAUCCAAAUACGAAUCUUCUCUCUCCUAAUAUAGAUGACAUCAAAAAAUAGAUGGUAAGAUGACCGUUCUGUUGAAGCUCAAUUUAUAGUCUUCAUAUUAUAUUUUCAGGAUGGAAAAUGAGAUAGAUUAGCACUUGUGGAUGAUCGGUCACUUGGGUUUGUACUUUGCAAUUCAAGGUCAAUUCAAUGGAGCAUAUGUACUUUGUAGAGUGCCUACAGGCU